rnacentral:rRNA from 1 species
GACGAACGCUGGCGGCGUGCUUAACACAUGCAAGUCGAACGGAAAGGCCCUGCUUUUGUGGGGUGCUCGAGUGGCGAACGGGUGAGUAACACGUGAGUAACCUGCCCUUGACUUUGGGAUAACUUCAGGAAACUGGGGCUAAUACCGGAUAGGAGCUCCUGCUGCAUGGUGGGGGUUGGAAAGUUUCGGCGGUUGGGUAUGGACUCGCGGCUUAUCAGCUUGUUUGUGGGGUAGUGGCUUACCAAGGCUUUGACGGGUAGCCGGCCUGAGAGGGUUACCGGGCACAUUAGGCCUGAGAGACGGACCAGACUCCUACGUGCGGCAGCAGUGGGGAAUCUUGCACAAUGGGCGGAAGCCAGAUGCAGCAACGCCGCGUGCGGGAUGACGGCCUUCGGGUUGUAAACCGCUUUCGACUGUGAUGAAGCGUGAGUGACGGUAAUGGGUAAAGAAGCACCGGCUAACUACGUG